AUUGAACGCUGGCGGCAGGCCUAACACAUGCAAGUCGAGCGAGCGGCGGGCGGGUGAGUAAUGCCUGGGAAUUGCCCAGUCGAGGGAGAUAACCUUUGGAAACUACUGCUAAUACCACAUCCGCUUGUGUUGCCCAUGUGGGAUUAGCUAGUUGGGGAGGAAAUGGCUCACCAAGGCGACGCUCCCUAGCUGGUCUGAGAGGAUGAUCAGCCACACUGGAACUGAGACACGGUCCAGACUCCUACGGGAGGCAGCAGUGGGGAAUAUUGCACAAUGGGCGAAAGCCUGAUGCAGCCAUGCCGCGUGUGUGAAGAAGGCCUUCGGGUUGUAAAGCACUUUCAGCGAGGAGGCGUUACCCGCAGAAGAAGCACCGGCUAACUCCGUGCCAGCAGCCGCGGUAAUUC
rnacentral:rRNA from 1 species